rnacentral:rRNA from 1 species
ACGUAGGGGGCAAGCGUUGAUCGGAAUCACUGGGCUUACAGCGCGUGUAGGCGGGGCGGCAGGUCUUCUGUGAAAGCUCCCGGCUCAACCGGGAGAGGACGUGCGAGACUGUCGGACUAGAGGCAGGUAGAGGCAAGUGGAAUUCCGGGUGUAGUGGUGAAAUGCGUAGAGAUCCGGAGGAACCCCAGAGGCGAAGGCGACACCCUGGGCCGUACCUGACGCUAAGACGCGACAGCACGGGGAGCGAACGG